rnacentral:tRNA from 1 species
UGUUAGCCAUUCCUGGGGAAAAUUUGUCUUGAAAACAAUUUUGAAGUGUUCAAUUCACUUAAUGGCUU